rnacentral:rRNA from 1 species
AGGACGAACGCUGGCGGCGUGCUUAACACAUGCAAGUCGAGCGGAAAGGCCCUUCGGGGUACUCGAGCGGCGAACGGGUGAGUAACACGUGAGCAACCUGCCCUUAGCUCCGGGAUAGCUCCGGGAAACCGGAAUUAAUACCGGAUACGACCACGGCCGACAUCUGCUGUGGUGGAAAGGAUUCCGGCUAAGGAUGGGCUCGCGGCCUAUCAGCUAGUUGGUGGGGUAAUGGCCCACCAAGGCGACGACGGGGUA